rnacentral:lncRNA from 1 species
UUUGUAUAAAUGAACCAAGAACUCCCCCUAUCCUAUCCAAAUGGAUGCCAAAUGAGUUUUAGCUUUGCUCCCCCUUACUCUUGUAUUUCAUUAAGACAAAAUUUUCAAAAGUUUGUGUCAAAGCAAGAGUUUCAAGUCAUGUAUCGAGGCAAGAAAAAUCUCUAUGAUUAUGUGCCAGAUUCAGAUUUUCUCUUUGUCAA